rnacentral:rRNA from 1 species
GACUCUCGGCAACGGAUAUCUCGGCUCAUGCAUCGAUGAAGAACGUAGCAAAAUGCGAUACUUGGUGUGAAUUGCAGAAUCCCGUGAACCAUCGAGUUUUUGAACGCAAGUUGCGCCCGAAGCCAUCCGGUUGAGGGCACGCCUGCCUGGGCGUCACGCAUCGU